rfam:TPA: Bos taurus chromosome 1, whole genome shotgun sequence.
CUAAAGGCCCUUUUCAGGGCCGCAAAAAAUAAAUAAAUAAAUAAAU